rnacentral:rRNA from 1 species
CAGUAGCCGCGGGAAUACGAAGGGGGCUAGCGUUGUUCGGAAUUACUGGGCGUAAAGCGCACGUAGGCGGAUAUUUAAGUCAGGAGUGAAAUCCCAGAGCUCAACUCUGGAACUGCCUUUGAUACUGGGUAUCUUGAGUAUGGAAGAGGCGAGUGGAAUUCCGAGUGUAGAGGUGAAAUUCGUAGAUAUUCGGAGGAACACCAGUGGCGAAGGCGGCUCACUGGUCCAUUACUGACGCUGAGGUGCGAAAGCGUGGGGAGCAAACAGGAUUAGAUACCCGUGUAGUCCCUGUCUCUUAUAC